rnacentral:rRNA from 1 species
GAUGAACGCUGGCGGCGUGCCUAAUACAUGCAAGUCGAGCGAAUGGAUUAAGAGCUUGCUCUUAUGAAGUUAGCGGCGGACGGGUGAGUAACACGUGGGUAACCUGCCCAUAAGACUGGGAUAACUCCGGGAAACCGGGGCUAAUACCGGAUAACAUUUUGAACCGCAUGGUUCGAAAUUUAAUGGCGGCUUCGGCUGUCACUUAUGGAUGGACCCGCGUCGCAUUAGCUAGUUGGUGAGGUAACGGCUCACCAAGGCAACGAUGCGUAGGCGACCUGAGAGGGUGAUCGGCCACACUGGGACUGAGACACGGCCCAGACUCCUACGGGAGGCAGCAGUAGGGAAUCUUCCGCAAUGGACGAAAGUCUGACGGAGCAACGCCGCGUGAGUGAUGAAGGCUUUCGGGUCGUAAAACUCUGUUGUUAGGGAAGAACAAGUGCUAGUUGAAUAAGCUGACACCUUGACGGUACCUAACCAGAAAGCCACGGCUAACUACGUGCCAGCCGCCGCAGUAA